rnacentral:rRNA from 1 species
AGCGAACGCUGGCGGCAGGCCUAACACAUGCAAGUCGAACGGAUCCUUCGGGAUUAGUGGCGGACGGGUGAGUAACACGUGGGAACGUGCCCUUUGGUUCGGAACAACUCAGGGAAACUUGAGCUAAUACCGGAUGUGCCCUUCGUGGGAAAGAUUUAUCGCCAUUGGAUCGGCCCGCGUCUGAUUAGCUAGUUGGUGAGGUAACGGCCCACCAAGGCGACGAUCAGUAGCUGGUCUGAGAGGAUGAUCAGCCACACUGGGACUGAGACACGGACCAGACUCCUACGGGAGGCAGCAGUGGGGAAUCUUGCGCAAUGGGCGAAAGCCUGACGCAGCCAUGCCGCGUGAAUUAUGAAGGUCUUAGGAUUGUAAAAUUCUUUCAGCGGGGACGAUAAUGACGGUACCCGAAGAAGAAGCUCCGGCUAACUUCGUG